AGAGUUUGAUCCUGGCUCAGGACAAACGCUGGCGGCGUGCCUAACACAUGCAAGUCGAGCGUGAAAGGGGCUUCGGCCCUGAGUAAAGCGGCGAACGGGUGAGUAACACGUGGGCAACCUGCCUCAAGGACUGGGAUAACCCCGGGAAACCGGGGCUAAUACCGGACGAUGUCGUCUUGCGCAAGCGAGCCGACCAAAGGUAGCUUCGGCCUCUGCCUUGAGAUGGGCCCGCGUCCUAUCAGCUUGUUGGUGAGGUAAUGGCUCACCAAGGCUACGACGGGUAGCUGGUCUGAGAGGAUGAUCAGCCACACUGGGACUGAGAUACGGCCCAGACUCCUACGGGAGGCAGCAGUGGGGAAUCUUGCGCAAUGGGCGAAAGCCUGACGCAGCAACGCCGCGUGAGCGAAGAAGGCCUUCGGGUUGUAAAGCUCUGUCAGGGGGAAAGAAGGCACCUGGGUUAAUAGCCCAAGGGCUGACGGUACCCCCAAAGGAAGCCACGGCUAACUACGUGCCAGCAGCCGCGGUAAUACGUAGGUGGCAAGCGUUGUCCGGAAUCAUUGGGCGUAAAGAGCGCGUAGGUGGCUUGUCAGGUCUGAUGUGAAAUUUCGGGGCUCAACCCCGAACCUGCAUCGGAAACCGGCUUGCUAGAGUCUGGGAGAGGAGAGUGGAAUUCCUGGUGUAGCGGUGAAAUGCGUAGAUAUCAGGAGGAACACCGGUAGCGAAGGCGGCUCUCUGGAACAGUACUGACGCUGAGGCGCGAAAGCUAGGGGAGCGAACAGGAUUAGAUACCCUGGUAGUCCUAGCCGUAAACGAUGGACACUAGGUGUCGGGGGUGUCGACUCCCCCGGUGCCGAAGCUAACGCAUUAAGUGUCCCGCCUGGGGAGU
rnacentral:rRNA from 1 species